rnacentral:tRNA from 1 species
AUUGAUGUGCCCGAAUGGUUAGGGAGCUGACUGUAAAUCAGUGACAUUAGUCUAUAUAGGUUCAAAUCCUAUCAUCAACA